rnacentral:lncRNA from 1 species
AAUAUAAAUCACAUAUCAGCAAAGAUAUAUAUUAAACUAAGCAAUAGGAUUUUAUUUUACAUGCUCCAGAUAAUUAGAUUUUUUUAAUUUUGGCUGUCAAUUUAAUAGAUAUAAUCAAAAGUUUACAAUAAGUUAAAUUUUGUGGAUUCAAGAAAUUCUGCUCCUAUAACAAUGGAGCUUAUAAUGAAUUUUUCAGGAAUUAGCCUCAAUAUAUAAAUGCAAGAGGAAAACGUCCAAGUGGAUUUCAAGAGCAUCAAUAAGAACAGCCUUAUAGCUUUUGUAAUGCUCACACAAGUAAUCUUUUGAAUUUUCUCAAAUUUAAUCCUGUAUGUUUUUAAAAGAACUCUUUGCCAUCAAAUGAUGGCAGCAUAGUUAAUAAUAGUUCUUGUAAAUUUUUUAUAUUGGAUAUAUACACCAUGGUUAAGCCUUAUCUAAAAUAUCUUUAUAAACCCAUAGGGCUUUACAGGCUUUCAUAACAACAAAAUCUGUAUAUGAUUUCCAAAUCAUUUCCUUGUCUAACAUAAUAGCAAGGUACAUAACUUUAGUAGUGAACUGUGUCCUUUUGCUGAAGACUAAUGAUUCUAUCAACUGUCUUUAUUGUAUAAAAGGUAAUAUUAUAAUGUUUAUUAGAUUUAAUUAGUCCAAUCUUAUCAUACAAUUUUGAUAUUCUAAUGAGAGUUGUCUGAAGCAUUUCAGAUACAAUCUAGGGAACAACAAUGAUGAUUAUAUAGCAUAUUCAGUAGUGAAGAAACCCCUCACAUUGAAUGUAGCACCAGUGCCUUACUAAAAGGCACUAUAGUAAGAAGAAAAUACUUCCCCCUGUGAAAAACUAGUCUAUAAAUGUUUCCUCCUCAUAAACCAUAUAUUAAAACAACCUUGUGCUUCAGCAUGGACAAUCCACUGAACAAUUGUUUUACAUAUUCCAUGUCUGCUUACUGCAAGGCUAAUUUGCUCGCUCAAGUUAUUUGUUUAAAUUCUCAUAGCUGUAAAGACAUUUAUAGCUUAAUUAUGCACAAAGUAUUUUUCUUCAUUAGAUUUUUGGAACUAUGAGUACUGAGAAUUACAUG